rnacentral:rRNA from 1 species
GACGAACGCUGGCGGCGUGCUUAACACAUGCAAGUCGAACGGAAAGGCCCUGCUUUUGUGGGGUGCUCGAGUGGCGAACGGGUGAGUAACACGUGAGUAACCUGCCCUUGACUUUGGGAUAACUUCAGGAAACUGGGGCUAAUACCGGAUAGGAGCUCCUGCUGCAUGGUGGGGGAUGGAGAGUUUCGGCGGUUGGGGCUGGACUCGCGGCUUAUCCGCUUGUUGGUGGGGUAGUGGCUUACCAAGGCUUUGACGGGUAGCCGGCCUGAGAGGGUGACCGGCCACAUUGGGACUGAGAUACGGCCCAGACUCCUACGGGAGGCAGCAGUGGGGAAUAUUGCACAAUGGGCGGACGCCUGAUGCAGCAACGCCGCGUGCGGGAUGACGGCCUUCGGGUUGUAAACCGCUUUCGCCUGUGACGAAGCGUGAGUGACGGUAAUGGGUAAAGAAGCACCGGCUAACUACGUG